UGUUCAAAAUGAAUGUCCAAGUAGGAUUUUCCAAAAUUAAAAUUCGAAAGCGUGAAUAAUUUUGGGAGCGUCAACGACCACGUUUCUUCCGGUUCUCCCACCGUUUUAUCUGCAACUCAAAAUCAAAAAUAGGAAAAAAAAAAAAAAAAAAUGGGGACCGAGGAGCUGAUGAAGAAGGCUGCCAUUGACAGCUGCGCCAAAAAUUCCAAUUAUCCUUCCGAAAGCAGAGAGGAAGGCGAGCUCUCUUCUUAUGACGGCGAUGUAAUAACUUCUUUUUCUUAAACCCAAUUCUAUCAUUGAUUCGACUCGCCUUUUCUUGUUUUUUGUAGUAUACAUUUUAAUUAGACGUCUAGGGCUUUUGUUUUCUCUGGUUUUUGUUGUGUAUUAAUGUUUUGUAACUCAAUAGUAUUUAACUAGUUUUUCUUUUUUUUUUUUUUUGCUGGGUUUUUCCUUUUGAAUGAAUUUGUUUGUGUGGUACUUUCUCUUUUACGAAAUUAAAUUUUGUUUUCUUUUCUGUUUUUAUUUUCUAUAACUGCUGUGGUUGUGUUGAUCAAUUUUGAAUUUAGAAAAAAAUGCUGGUGGAAAGAAGAAAAGGAAGGAAGGUAAGCAUGUCUGAUUUGUGUCUUCUUUCGAUUUAUGUUGU
rnacentral:lncRNA from 1 species